CUCCAGGGCCUGGGGUGGGGGCAGGACUUACAUGCCGACUUCUCCAAGGCCAGGUUCAGUCACAAGACAGCCAAGUGACAGGCUGGACAGGGCUCUCGGUGCCGUAAAACUCAUCUCACCUGGAGAUUCCUCCAGAGUUUCCUGCUUUAGAAUUGCUUUUUUUUUUUUUUUUUUUUUUUUUAUUGCUUUCUGGAAUAAACUUCCUAUGUUCCCAGAAGCAGGUAGGGCACCUGGCGACGGCAGUGACUCCCUUAGAAAGAUCCACGGCUGCGGACGGUCGGCGUGGUGCGGGCGGCCGAGGUAGUGACACAAUCCUCCGUCCAGCAAGCCUGCCUGUGACGUCCAGAUUGUGAACGUGUGCGACAACCAACGACUGUCCGGAACUCGCAGCCAUUAGGAAGGAGCCCCCGAAGUCCCGAGCCGUUGUCGGAAGCAGGACACACGCAUGUCCCGAGUCCGUGUGCCCACAGCACAAACAAAGCCGUGAACACGCACCGAAUGGGUGUCCCAAAGGGAACAUGGUCCCCAGAAACGCAACGUGACAGCAGACAUGAUGCAGCUUUGCUGGUGCCGACGUUGUACAAAUUCUCUUCUGUGAAGUUUGGUCUGUGUAACUUCAACAGCAAACUGGCCAGAAGGCUCUGGACACCCAGUAUUGCCUGCUUCCACUCAGGACAGUAGAGUGACAGAGUUAGCCCCGUCUAGAAUUAAAGUGGUGCCUGGGUGGCUCAGUCAGCUGAGCGUCAGUGGCUCAGUCUUGAUUUCAGCUCAGGUCAUGAUCUCUUGGUUCGUGGGAUC